ACUAGCUGGAAAGAGAGCUGGCUGUGGAAAUGUUUGCAGAGCGCACAGAAACUCGCGAUGGAACACCGCUACUCGAGUCUCCGUACGGCUGAACGUAAACCCCGGGGCCACGCACUGCAUGACAGCCACGUCCGUGGCUCGGGGCGGCGGACGUGCCUUCGGCUACUCGGUGGCAGUAAUCCCGCCGCAGAACGCCUGGGGAGUGCCUGGGUCGCUCAGACUCGGCUAGAUUAUUUUCUUUUACAAGGCAUCUAUUGAUGUUGGGGUUGCAGGAACUCCGGGACGCCCAGACUACUAGGGCGGAUUACUCAGGAACACCCAACAAGUUUGGCCACCGGGGGCUCAGCGUGACAGAGCCUUGCCGCCACACGCGAAAAGCAACUUGUCGCUCCGGCGCGGAGCAGGAGCCCCGGCGCUGCCCGGGUGCCCAGGGCUCGGAAGAGCAUCGGGCCCCGGGGCUCAGAAGGCAAUGGUCCAGGGCUUGUGAACCACAUCGCACAUCUCGCCCGAAUUGACAAAAGAACCAGAGAAGCCGAAGGCAAGCGGCCCCCGGCGCCCCACUGCAGCCCAGAGCAGAGCGAGACAGCUCGGCUGGCCGCGGAGGGAGAAGGAACGAGGAGGAACAGACGAGUACCGCCCCCCUCCCGACACCCGGCAAAGAAACCCACGGGCGAGCGCUCGCUCGGGCAGGGGGAUUGGGCUCUGCCACCCCGCUGCCCAUCGCGCACACACACACGCGCGCGCGCACGCACACACACACAACACACACACACAUGCACACUCGCACACACACGCACACGCCUCCCCCCGCCCCCAUCCCUCCUCACCCAGCAUG